rnacentral:lncRNA from 1 species
GUCCUGCUUCCUUCUCUGGAGGAAGCAACCCUGCACAGAGGGAAAGAAGAAUCUCAACAUACAGUCCUCAGCAGCUUUAGCAUGGGCAACAAAUUAAGUCUCUGUAAAAGGCCCAAAGGACAGGGUUUGGUGAGAUUCUGGAGAGCUGGAAACAUGGAGGUUGACAGGAAUGUAAAGAAGAACUCAUUUACAUGCCAGGAGGGUGGAACACCCCAAUUCCAUGAGGAUAACUGCUCCUGUACUCCAGACCUCACCCCAUGUGUCUCUUCAUCUGGCUGGUUAUUUGUCCUUUAAGAUCUCCUUACUCAACCAGUAAAUGUGUCUUUACAUUGUUUUAGUCUUGAACUAGAAGAUGAAAGCAUCAAAUAAAGAAAUAUACUGUGGGUAUAUGGAUUACAAAAAAAGUGCUGGAUGUUCCAUGCCCUCAAACAUUGGACUCCAAGCUCUUCAGCUUUGGGACUUCAACUGGCUUCCUUGCUCCUCGGCUUACAGAUGGCCUAUUGUGGGACCCUGUGAUCGUGUACUCUUAUAAGGAAUAGAGGAGAAGAGAAAAGAAGAGAAGACAAGAGAAGAGAAAGAGAAGAUUGCAAGAAGGGAAGACAAGAGAAGAGAAAGAGAAAGAGAAGAAGACAAGAGAAGAGAAAGAGAAAGAGAAGAUGCGAAAUAGACGCAUGCAUUUAUUGAAUUUUAAUUUAUGACAGAAGUAGCAUAGUCAAUAACUGAGGAGUGGAAGGACAAUAUAAUCAGAUAAAUUGAAAAAUGCUUAUUGACAUGGAAAUAUCAAAGGAAAAAUAUACCAUGUGCCCACUGAUAAAAAAUAAAUGGAAUAUUCAUGAAAGGUCCCAAUUACUGUUACAAUAAUUUUUUAAAUAAUUAGGCAUUUGGAUUUUAUGUGCUUUUUGAUUUGAGUAGUUUAAAGUGUUUUAAAUAACAUUAAAUAUUAUUAUAAUUAUAAUAAUUAUUAUUUUUGAGACCGAGUCAUCUUGCUCUAUUGCCCAGGCUCUAGUUCAGUGGUGCGAUCUCAACUCACUGCAACCUCCGCCUCCUAGGUUCAAGUGAAUCUCAUGCCUCAGCCUCCUGAGUAACUGGGACUACAGGCAUGUUCCACUACACCUGGAUAAUUUUUGUGUUUUUGUAGUAGAGACUGGGUUUCUCCAUGUUGGCCAGGCUGGUCUUGAACUCCUGACCUCAAGUGAUAUGCUUGCAUUGACCUCCCAAAGUGCUGAGAUUCCAGGUGUGAGCCACUGCACCCGGUCCAUUAAAUAUUAUUUUAAUUAUAUUAGGUCAAAUAUUUUUGUUUCUUUCCUGAAUUUUAACACUAUUUAGAAUGAGUACAUAGUUGUUAGCUAAUAAAAUCUGUAGUUCAAAAAUUAUUUUGUGACUUACUGAGCAUUUCACUUGAUCAAUUUUUAUAAAUGUUUCAUGAUCUCUUAAAAAGAAAUGUAAGUAGCAUGUUAUAGUAGUAUCUUCCGUCAUCAUAAUAGUAUGUUCUAUAUGUAUCAUGUGUCAUACUUCUGUCAUUUUUGUUUUAUUAGUGCUUUGCUUAUUUCACAGAUUCUGCUUUUGUUUAUUUGUUUCUUAAUAAACUUUCUAAAUCUGCUAGUUUGGGAGGUUUCGACUUUCAUAUUGGUGCACAUUUAACUUUAUAUAAUAUGCUUGAUCAUCUAUUUACUGAUGCAUAGACUUCAGAGAGUGUCUUCUCUUAACUAUCCACUUUGAUCGAUGAAAAAAUAACGACCACUCCUGAUUUUAGUAGUUUUGUUGGUUUUCAUAUAUAUGAA